rnacentral:rRNA from 1 species
GAUGAACGCUAGCGGCAGGCCUAAUACAUGCAAGUCGAACGGGAUUUGGGAGCUUGCUCCCAAUGAGAGUGGCGCACGGGUGCGUAACACGUAUGUAACCUACCUUAAUCAGGGGGAUAGCCUCUCGAAAGAGAGAUUAACACCGCAUAAAAUCACACUAUGGCAUCAUAGAAUGAUCAAAUAUUUAUAGGAUUAAGAUGGGCAUGCGGAACAUUAGCUAGUUGGUAAGGUAACGGCUUACCAAGGCUACGAUGUUUAGGGGAUCUGAGAGGAUGGCCCCCCAAACGGGUACUGGGGCACGGACCAGACUCCUACGGGAGGCAGCAGUAAGGAAUAUUGGUCAAUGGGCGGAAGCCGGAACCAGCCAUGCCGCGUGCAGGAAGACGGCCCUACGGGUUGUAAACUGCUUUUGUACCGGAAUAAACCGUGCUACGUGUAGGAAGCUGAAUGUACGGUAAGAAUAAGGAUCGGCUAACUCCGUGCCAGCAGCCGCCGUAA